AUGUACCGCUCGUACACUCCGGUUCCUUCGUGCCGUCCGCACCCAUCUGACGACCGCUCGCUACGCUGUGUGGGCC
rnacentral:sRNA from 1 species